rnacentral:tRNA from 1 species
ACGCCGUUGGUGAAAUGGUUAUCAUGCUUGCCUUCCACUGUCGAAGCACAGCCACAGCAAGCGGCGGGGGUUCGAUUCCCUCACGGCGUA